AUAUAAUUGGGAGACUAUACCUAGUCAGAAAUAUGACAGUGUUUUUUAUUCUUUUUCCGUGGUUGAUGGAUGACGUUUAUUUUUUUGAGUUUUUAAGAAGUUAGGUAAUUUUGUUUUACUUUUCUUCCUUUUGUUAAUAUUGUUGUCAUUUCAAUAAACAAAGACAGACAGGUGUCAAUAAAUAGUAUCAAUUUCUUAAUCGCCCUCUAAUUUUUUGCAAAAGUUGAAACUUCGCAGUUUGAUCAUUGGAAAUGCAAUAACUAAUCAUUUCAAACCAAAACAAAACUGUUAAAAAAACAUUUAAGUAAAUGAUUUUUCUUUUCAAAGACAAAGCCUUAUUUCAGUUCAUGCGAGACACAAUUAAAAAGUAUUAAUUAUCGUAUCACCUACUUAUGGCAAUAGAUAUUUUACUUUGAUUGCUGUAUAAUAAUAUUCAAUCAACUUGGCCACACGUUGAACUAAAUAUUGUCUUAUCGUUUGUGCACUCUAUCCGUUUGGCGCAAAAUAAACCAAAAUAAAGUAAAGCAAAAUGCUUACAACAUUUAAGGACAUCAAAACAAAAACGCAGCAAGCUGUGGUAUCUUUUGUUUUAAGUUGAAGAGUAUUGUGAGCUUGCUAGUCAAAUUAUUACAGUGUGUUAUGUGUUGUACCUAUCGUACUGGUCUUUAAUCAAUUAAGGAUACGUCACAGAUACGAUUUAAAAAAUGAGAUAACAAUCAAACAAAUUUCAUGCAACAGACUCACUUGAAAUUUUGCAAAAGGACACAGCAAGUUAGCAACACUACGCAUGGUUUGUGAAGGAAUGGGAAGAUUUCCUCUGGAGGUAAAGGUGAAAGUUAGAUUGAUUUUAUAUAUGUGUUAAACUGUGAAUAAUGAAUCAAAAUUUGUACUUUACUGUAUAGAUUUAUGCUUUGCUUAAAGCCAAUUACAUAAUUAAACCUGAAAUGGGAUAAUUCUGUACUGGCAUUGAAUAUAUAAUCAAAUGGGCUACUCUUGUAAAUUGUUUAUACUUUGUAAUCCGAGAGUUAAAACGUGAUAUAGUGAUAUAAAAGUUUGAUGACAUGGACGAUUUUAAUCGAUGUCUAAAAUAAUAUUCUUUAGAAAGCUUCUUUACCUUCAUAUAUAAUUCAGGCAUCGGAUCACUUAUUUUAAGGAAAUUCACAUGUUUGUCUCCUAUA
rnacentral:lncRNA from 1 species